UCCGUCGAAGCUUUGGUCCAUUAGGACCAAAGUCAGGCCCCAGCGGGCCUCCCUGCCAUUCCUGGACGGCCUCGCGUCCUCCCAGAGCCUGACCUUCUCUUAUCUCUGCAGCCUAAGUCGCGGAAGCGUAGACACCCGGCUUUUCCCGCGUGCUCUAUCGGGCUCCCCUGGACACGGAGGGUGGAGCAGAAAGAGCAGAGGGGCCGGUGGGAGCCAUGGGGAGUCCGCCUAGCUCCAGAGGACACCUUACCUGGAUCCGCCUUUGUAGCCUCCUCCUGGCUCUGGGGGCUGUCCUGUGGGGUCCGAGUAGCUGAAAGACAGCCCCUCCAUGUGAGGAAGCCCCCAACUGGGGAAAACCCCCUCGUGGACUCAUUCCUGUCCCUGCAUGUGGCCUUCACCUGACUGUCUGCAUUGAGGCAUCCUCUGCCAAGAGCAAUUUCAAAGUGGCAGGAAAGUGCUGCUUUCAACAUCUGCCACAUUUGCAAGAAGAGCAAAGGUGGCCCAUUUGAGACCACCCUUGAACUAAACCAUCCAGUGAGCCCCUGAGGUCGGGACAGAAGUGGCCAUGACCUUCCUCAAGCAGGGACUGUGGUGGAGCCCACCUUAUCCAGCACAAGGUGGCCUGCUGACUUCUGGUGACAGUGAUGCCAACUUCCUGGCUGUCCAAGGUUCAAAUCUUGGUCUUAAUCCUCCUGGCCUUCUCUCAUCAAUGGCCAGAGCCACCCUAGCUAACAAGGUGCCCAGGGACUCCGGGGUGGGAGAAGUCCAGCUUCUUCUUAGCUGAGGACAUUUGAGUCUCGUCACAGCCCCCAAAAGAAUACUCAUUUUUGUAGCUGGAGGGCCUGGCCUCUGUCUAUCUUUGCUUUUCCAGAAGCUGACAAGUACCUGCCGGAAAAACUGCCUCUUUUCCCUCCCGUGCUUGGAGCAGGCAUUGCUGACAGAUCACAGCUGCUGGGCCCAAAGGUCCCUUUGCACGCGGGACUUCAGGAAGUUGCUGCUGACCUAUGGGAGUUGGUGCAGAAAGAUGAAAUUUGUUAUCCUUGGCUGUAUCAACUCUCUCUCCUCUCCUUGGUGGUGAUAGUUUUGUUCUUAAAAGCCUCUUGUGAGAGAAUUUGUGGAUGAAGAACCUGUAAGAUCACAAGUGAAACAAUUUAUUGAUGUCAAUAGAUUUAUACACGUUCAUUAAGAAUCAAAACUAAACUAAAACAUCAGUCUGACUAAAGAGACCACCACAGAUAUUUCAUAUGCUGUACAUCAGUAACAAAGGGUACCAAAUAGUUAAUAUCCAUGUACUAGUCACAUGAGAAAUGUUUUAGGGUCAUUGACCAGUGUAGUCAGUACAGUGGUCCCAUGGUAUUUGUGGGGGAUUGGUUCCAGGAAUCUCUUGGACACCAACUCCGUGGAUGAUCAGACAAUAUAAAAUGUGGGUCAGGUGCGGUGGCUCAUACCUGUAAUCCCAGCAUUUUGCGAGAAUCACUUGAGGCCAGUUCAAGAUCAGCCUGUGCAACAUAGCAAGACUCCACCUCUAAAAAAAAAAAAAAAA
rnacentral:lncRNA from 1 species